GAAGAAAGCUACAGGGAACAACACACAGAUGAGUCAGGGACUGAGUUUAAACCCUGCAGUGACUCAGUCUGGUUUAGAAACCAGUCAGGACACGGUUGAUCCUGAAGAAGGUGUUUCCUACGCCUCCAUCAGCUACACCAAGAAGACCAACAGUAAAGCCCGGGUAAGAAGUCUGAUUAUUUACACUGGUGAUGUUGGUGAACAAA